GUUGCCCUCAGUGGUAUAAGUGGUAUUGUCUACCAACAAAUGGCUGGAUGCUUCCUGUCUGGAUCAACCAUGGACCUCCUCAAGCGAACCCUGUCCACCCUCCAUCACUGCAGAACCAACACCGGAACCUCAGUGCCCAACAACUUGUGUCAAGUACCCACCAGCUCCAGUCUCAUCGGUGUGGAGCUUCGUUGUCGCUCCCCCCCUCCUGGCGGAUCAGUCCUCAUCCCUAUUGGUUUCCUGAUUCCGGUUCCUCCCGUACCACCACGUUCCCUGUAAAUAAAAUCUUUGUUAAAACCU